UUUCUUUCUUUCUUUUU
rnacentral:sRNA from 1 species